UAGCAACGAAGACAUUCCACAUUUCUACUAUCGCGACUCUUUAGUCGAGUAUAGGGCACAGGGAUCUAAAAAGAGAUAUUCAACCAGCGAUGUUUCGAAAAAAUGCGGAAUAUCUUUCCGCUAUAUUACGUCAGAGACUGACUAAGAAAACCAUUGUCAGUGACGAAGCCCCUUAAACAAUACAUUUUUAUUUGUGGGGGAAAAUGUCUAUGUAAUAAUAUAAUUCACGUUUACGAUUUUAUACG